rnacentral:hammerhead_ribozyme from 1 species
AUCCAGCUGACUAGUCCCAGAAAGGACAAUACGCGCGUCCUGGAU